rnacentral:rRNA from 1 species
GACGAACGCUGGCGGCGUGCUUAACACAUGCAAGUCGAACGGAAAGACCCUGCUUUUGUGGGGUGCUCGAGUGGCGAACGGGUGAGUAACACGUGAGUAACCUGCCCUUGACUUUGGGAUAACUUCAGGAAACUGGGGCUAAUACCGGAUAGGAGCUCCUGCUGCAUGGUGGGGGUUGGAAAGUUUCGGCGGUUGGGGAUGGACUCGCGGCUUAUCAGCUUGUUGGUGGGGUAGUGGCUUACCAAGGCUUUGACGGGUAGCCGGCCUGAGAGGGUGACCGGCCACAUUUGGACUGAGAUACGGCCCAGACUCCUACGGGAGGCGGCAGUGGGGAAUAUUGCCCAAUGGGCGGAAGCCUGAUGCAGCAACGCCGCGUGCGGGAUGACGGCCUUCGGGUUGUAAACCGCUUUCGCCUGUGACGAAGCGUGAGUGACGGUAAUGGGUAAAGAAGCACCGGCUAACUACG